AAAACAAAAUUUCACUCCGUGCCAGCGCUUAAACAUUUUUAUUUUAUAGUUUUUACAAUAAAAGGUGACAAGGUUGAUUGCUCUUUAAAAAUCAUGCUUUACAUUUUCUAAUCUGUGUUUUUUUUUAAAAUGCACUGAUUUAACAACUUUAGCAAAAAAAAGGACGCACAUCUUCUCUGUUAAUGGUCCUAAAAUGAAUGGUCUUAAAUGCAGUACAGCUGUUACCCAUCCAGAACCUUGCACAAAACAUCAAAAUCUCCUGACAAAUAGAAAUUGAACGAAUCAUUGGUGAGCAUAAUCGCAUUAGCUAAACUUGUUCCUUCUUUUGUGCAAUAUCCCAUUCCUGAAAAGUUUAAUUUAUAAAUAAAAUAAAAAGGUUUACUGCUUUGCAAUCAACUUUUAGAUAUGCAAAUGCUUUAAUAUUUAGAUAUCAAAGCACUAGCAAUUUUUCACUACUUUGAUUGUCAGUCAGUCAGUCAGUCAGUCUUUGAUUUAUAGUUAUUUAUUUAGUUUUGUAUCAAUUCAAAACAAGAUUUCAAACCACAUGAAAAUAAAAAUAUAUGCAAAAAAGCUUUGUAAAAAUUAUAUUUACAAUAACACAGAACACAGGUUUGUCUUGUUUGGAGCAUUCCACUGUAUUGGUAUUUUAUUAAACUGUCAUUGUUCCCGAACAGUGAAAGCGCUUGAGGCUUUGUUCUCUAUUUCGAAUAUUUUAUCAUUUUGGUUUGGUCACACCUGGCCAUAUUUAACCCCUUGACAUAUUUGUUAUUUAAUUAUUUCAAUGCUGUAUUUGCUGAUUUGUCCUCUGACCAUUAGUUCCUCACAUUUAGUUCCUGUUUUUUUUUUUGUGGUAAUCUUCCAUGUCUCAAGCUCUGUGUUGUGUUCAAUUCCUCUUUUUCUUAUUCCUGUUUUUUUCGGUUUCUUUAUUACCACUAGCUUUUUUUUAUCCUAAUGUUGAGUUGUUUUGUAAGUUAUACUAUUUAUUGAUUUCUGUGUUGCCUAGAUCCUUGUAUUUCCUCUAUUAAUUGAAUGCGAUGGCCAUCAAGCUACAGUCUGAACGGUUCACGACCCCAAAGUGAUCCGCAUGCACAGAAGGAGAAUGUAGACAUUACAGAGCAGCACACUGUUUACAGAAGUAAUAAUGAUGACUCUGUGUUAUUAUUCAGUUGUUGCUCAUUGGGAGCCAACACUAUCAUGGGCAGAUCAUAACAAGAAGAAAGGUUGUAAUAGUUAAUGGGAUGAACAACAGCCAGAUAUUGCUCUGCACACAUCAGGAUGUGAAAAAAUCCUUCUCCAUACCAGGUAAAAGAAAAAAGAGUGCUCCCCAUUUUUACUGCUUUUAUGUCUCCCCUAUAGAUGCCACCAAAGGAGAUAAUACACCCACAGACACCAAUCAGCUCCAUGAUGACCAGGUGGUAGGUGAAGCUGUCAGAGUGACUCAUGGUAGAGGAGCAAUUUUUCCACCACUGUUGUAAGCCAUGGUAGAAGACCAAGAUGAAGAGCGGGAGGAAGAGGACAACGUUGAUUACAAUGAACGUUGUGUAAAUAAUGGUGCUCGGUCUGGUGAUGAGGCAGUGACUGUAGGACAUUUUGGGAAAAGGGGGAUGGGAGUCGUUGGAAGAAGAGUUUGCCAACAUAUCUGGAAUAAAGCAAGAUGUUAGUUUGUCUCAGUCUCAUCCGUGGCAUAAAGGCUAAAUGGAUACCUCGUUAAUUAUUAUUAGUAUAUCAUUGAAAUUAUUAUUAGUAUAUAAUUGAAAAGUCCAUUUAUCUUAUUAGUUCAUUUUAAAAUGUGUAACUUGUGUGUUUUCUAGAAUUGUUUGUAAACAGAGAUAUAUUUAUUUGUUUCUGUUCAUUUUGAUGAUUACAGCCAAUACUAGAUUUCACAGAAUAAUUGAAUAUUACAUAAAACCCCUUAAAAAAUCAUUGUUUAUACAUGAGUGUCAGCCUAUUGAAAAGUAUGUCCAGAAGUAUGUCCAUUUACCAUAGAGCAUAAGGAAUAAACACUCAUCUUCGUCUUGAUAGUAGUCCGUAUGUUCUCAAUGGGCUUUAACUCAGGCCAGCUAGGUGGUCCAGCUAGCCCAGUGAUACCAUGGUUAUUAAAGCAGAUAGUGGUACUUUUGGCAGAGUGGGAAGGCACAAGGUCUUGCUGGAAAAUGAAAUCAGCAUCUCCAUAAAGGUUGGAAAAACUAAGCCAUAUUUAUAUAAAAUGAAGAUGUUGAGCAUAGGAUACUGCAGAUAUCAACAUUCUGCUGUCCUUGUUCAGUACAAAAUGAGUAAUUACUUGGGUCAGAUGGAGGAGGAACAGAUUUGCAGAAUCUACACUCCAGAGGCUUAAGUGUAAGCUGUUAACUUCCCUCUUUUAUCAUUUACUCUUGUCGCUUUGUUGUUUAGAUUAAUGUGCUUUAGUAAGAUUGUGAGAGAUUUUUCGGGUACUAGAAUGUUUCUUUGGGCCAAAAUCACUUUACAUGUAGACAAUAAACACAACAGAAAUGCCAUCCAAUUGUGUUAAAUGCCUAUGGGAUGGAUUUACUUGACUGUCUACUGAACCGCUGAUGGUGAAUAAAAUAUAUCAAAUUUA